rnacentral:lncRNA from 1 species
GGCCAGGCACUACUCUGUCCCAACAAUAAGCCCUGUACAUUGGGAAAGGUGCCGAGACAUGAACUUUGGUCUUCUCUGCAAUCCAUCUGGAGCAUUCACUGACAACAUCGACUUUGAAGUUGCACUGACCUGGCCAGCCCUGCCACUUACCAGGUUGGAUAACACUAACAAAGUUGACCUUAGAAUUGGAGUGCCUGGGUUAGAACCCUGCUGGUACCACCUGCUUACUGCAUGCUUCUGAUGUGAGUUCAGGAGAAGACACUGGCAAGGACAGCAAAGAACAGGAGAACACUCUAGCUUCCCUGAUAGCAUUCAAGGUGCUGUCCAAAGCUGAAAAAGUUUUGGAAGCCCUCCUAAGCAGGUGCCAGACCCUUUUUUGGCCAGAGACAGGAUCUUACGCUGUUGCCCAGGCUGGAGUGCAAUAGUGUCAUCAUGGCUCACUGUAGCCUGGAACUGCUGGGCUCAAGGGAUCCUCCCAGCUCAGCCUCCCAAGUAGCUAGGAGUAAAGUUGGAGGAACUGGUUAUUUUCCCAGGGCUUUGACUGAAAUGGCCUUGUGAAUGGUUCCAGGAAAGCCAAUUUUGGAGACCCUAUGUGGAUGAUGAUGCUUGCUGUACUUUCUGUGGGUAAUCGGGCCAAGUAUAUGGGACUGAAGCUAAUUUUGCAGGUGAGAAAAUGGAGGUCCAGAGAGAAAAGUGACUCACCCAAGCUGAAAACAGUUGCAGGAAGAAAAGCCAGGACAGAACUGGGCUGUUAGAAACCUUGGAGUACACUAAAGAUGAGGAACUGAGUCACCGCAAUGCCAAAUGUAACACGCUGUGGGUCAAAAUUUGGAUGGUUGCGUUGGAAAUUAUUCUGAAGCCACAGACAGGGCUAAAAGAGUCUAGAAUGUCCUACUAGCUGUUGGAACCUGCUGGAGUUCUAAAGGCAUGCGAUGUCCUGAAUGUGCUUGACCAAUGGACACAGCAGGUAUUUGAAGAGUUUUGAUGCUUCCUUUCUGUUUUCAGUGCUAUUUUUUUGCUUUAUUUCUUUUAAAAAACUUUCCCCACAGAGGCUAUUUAUUACACAGCAGCAGCCAGCAUGCACCAAGCAGAACUGCUUUUCAUAAUAAACCUAUUUAUCUUCUGGCAUGUCAGAAAUUUCUCAAAUUGAUACUUAUAAUAAAUAUGAUUAAUAACACAUUGUA